rnacentral:misc_RNA from 1 species
GAUGAAGAACGCAGCGAAAUGCGAUACGUAAUGUGAAUUGCAGAUUUCAGUGAAUCAUCGAAUCUUUGAACGCACAUUGCGCCCGCUAGUAUUCUGGCGGGCAUGCCUGUUCGAGCGUCAUUUCAACCAUCAAGCCCCAGGCUUGCGUUGGAGCCCUGCGGCUGCCGCAGGCUCCCAAAUCCAGUGGCGGGCUCGUCGUCGUACCGAGUGCAGUAAACAUCCUCGCUCAGGGAACGUGACGGGUUCUUGCCGUGAAACCCCCCACAUAUCAAGGUUGACCUCGGAUCAGGUAGGAAUACCCGCUGAACUUAAGCAUAUCAAUAAGCGGAGGA